GACGAACGCUGGCGGCGUGCCUAAUACAUGCAAGUUGAGCGCUGAAGGUUGGUACUUGUACCAACUGGAUGAGCAGCGAACGGGUGAGUAACGCGUGGGGAAUCUGCCUUUGAGCGGGGGACAACAUUUGGAAACGAAUGCUAAUACCGCAUAAAAACUUUAAACACAAGUUUUAAGUUUGAAAGAUGCAAUUGCAUCACUCAAAGAUGAUCCCGCGUUGUAUUAGCUAGUUGGUGAGGUAAAGGCUCACCAAGGCGAUGAUACAUAGCCGACCUGAGAGGGUGAUCGGCCACAUUGGGACUGAGACACGGCCCAAACUCCUACGGGAGGCAGCAGUAGGGAAUCUUCGGCAAUGGACGAAAGUCUGACCGAGCAACGCCGCGUGAGUGAAGAAGGUUUUCGGAUCGUAAAACUCUGUUGGUAGAGAAGAACGUUGGUGAGAGUGGAAAGCUCAUCAAGUGACGGUAACUACCCAGAAAGGGACGGAUAACUACGUG
rnacentral:rRNA from 1 species